rnacentral:misc_RNA from 1 species
AUAAUGGGUGGAGAGUCACCCAUGAUAAAAGUGGGAUUGGGGUGAAUACCACCAAUCGAGUGAUAAGAUAAAGAAUACCUCGGAGCUUAAUAACCCCAUCCAGAAAUUUAUUCUAAUAAAAACAAUAUUGCACUAUAAAUACAGCGACCAAUCACAAUGAAAAACAAAUAAAUAC